AGUAAACAUCAAAAUAUGUUCUGAAAUUCGAGUGCAUUAAUUCAUGUGCACUUUGUGGAAUUAUUCACAUUUAGCUUGUUUUUAGUUACAAAUCUAAUAUAAUUCUUUUUAGGAUUUUGGCUAAACGUACAGAACACAUCGACUGUCUCUCAAAAUUCUCCUGAGAAUCAGAACAAUUUGGAAAGAACAGAUCUUAGUCUAGGAUCUAUUCGAUCGGCUCACGGCUACCGGAGGAUCGUUGUUAUCGGAUAGCUCACUCUGUAUAUUCGCAUAGUAUGUGAUAGCCGAUAACAUUGGGAAAUCAAAGUGUCAGAUCGUUUCGCAAUGGUUGCGCCAAAUACAAUGCUACCAGAGCAAGGAACUUUUCCAAUUCGAUGCGGAAGUAAUCUGUGCGCGGAGACGGGAUAUAGUUGUCUUUGUUCGAAUCACAAAUCUUAAAACCUUAAGAAACAAAAGAGAUCCUCUAAAAGUUAUGCCCGCGAGAUUAUUAUCCGCAUGUCAUAUCUCUCUUGGCUAUGCUUGUCUAG